rnacentral:rRNA from 1 species
CCUACGGGAGGCAGCAGUGGGGAAUCUUGCGCAAUGGGCGAAAGCCUGACGCAGCCAUGCCGCGUGAAUGAUGAAGGUCUUAGGAUUGUAAAAUUCUUUCACCGGGGACGAUAAUGACGGUACCCGGAGAAGAAGCCCCGGCUAACUUCGUGCCAGCAGCCGCGGUAAUACGAAGGGGGCUAGCGUUGCUCGGAAUUACUGGGCGUAAAGGGAGCGUAGGCGGACAUUUAAGUCAGGGGUGAAAUCCCGGGGCUCAACCUCGGAAUUGCCUUUGAUACUGGGUGUCUUGAGUAUGAGAGAGGUGUGUGGAACUCCGAGUGUAGAGGUGAAAUUCGUAGAUAUUCGGAAGAACCCCAGUGGCGAAGGCGACACACUGGCUCAUUACUGACGCUGAGGCUCGAAAGCGUGGGGAGCAAACAGGAUUAGAUACCCUGGUAGUCCACGCCGUAAACGAUGAUUGCUAGUUGUCGGGAUGCAUGCAUUUCGGUGACGCAGCUAACGCAUUAAGCAAUCCGCCUGGGGAGUACGGUCGCAAGAUUAAAACUCAAAUGAAUUGACGG